GUGCUCGCUUCGGCAACACAUAUACUAAAAUUGGAAUGAUCCGGAGAAGAUUUAGCAUGGCCCCUGCACAAGGAUGACACGCAGAUUCCUGAGAUAUGCUCCGAGGCA